AGAGUUUGAUCCUGGCUCAGGAUGAACGCUAGCGGCAGGCUUAAUACAUGCAAGUCGUGGGGCAGCAGGGGUAGCAAUACUCGCUGGCGACCGGCAAACGGGUGCGCAAUACGUACGCAACCUUCCUUUAAGCGGGGAAUAGCCCAGGGAAACUUGGAUUAAUACCCCAUAAUAUAUUGAAGAGGCAUCUUUUUAAUAUU
rnacentral:rRNA from 1 species